rnacentral:rRNA from 1 species
ACUCAAAUGAAUUGACGGGGGCCCGCACAAGCGGCGGAGCAUGUGGCUUAAUUCGAUGCAACGCGAAGAACCUUACCUGGGUUUGACAUGCAUGGUAAUCCCUCAGAGAUGGGGGGUCCUUCGGGGCCGUGUACAGGUGGUGCAUGGCUGUCGUCAGCUCGUGUCGUGAGAUGUUGGGUUAAGUCCCGCAACGAGCGCAACCCUUGUUCCAUGUUGCCAGCACGUAAUGGUGGGGACUCAUGGGAGACUGCCGGGGUCAACUCGGAGGAAGGUAGGGAUGACGUCAAGUCAUCAUGCCCCUUAUGUCCAGGGCUGCACACAUGCUACAAUGGCUCAUACAGAGGGUUGCGAUGUCGUGAGGCGGAGCGAAUCUCUUAAAGUGAGUCUCAGUUCGGAUCGGGGUCUGCAACUCGACCCCGUGAAGUCGGAGUCGCUAGUAAUCGCAGAUCAGCAACGCUGCGGUGAAUACGUUCCCGGGCCUUGUACACACCGCCCGU